rnacentral:rRNA from 1 species
CCUACGGGGGACUGCAGUCGAGAAUCAUUCACAAUGGGGGAAACCCUGAUGGUGCGACGCCGCGUGGGGGAAUGAAGGUCUUCGGAUUUUAAACCCCUGUCAUGUGGGAGCAAAUUAAAAAGAUAGUACCACAAGAGGAAGAGACGGCUAACUCAGUGCCCGCAGCCGCGGUACUACAGAGGUUUCACGCGUUGUUCGGAAUCACUGGGCGUAAAGCGUGCGUAGGCUGUUUCGUAAGUCGUGUGUGAAAGGCGCGGGCUCAACCCGCGGACGGCACAUGAUACUGCGAGACUAGAGUAAUGGAGGGGGAACCGGAAUUCUCGGUGUAGCAGUGAAAUGCGUAGAUAUCGAGAGGAACACUCGUGGCGAAGGCGGGUUCCUGGACAUUAACUGACGCUGAGGCACGAAGGCCAGGGGAGCGAAAGGGAUUAGAUACCCUUGUAGUC